UACAGAGGGGGCAAGCGUUAUUCGGAAUUAUUGGGCGUAAAGGGCGCGUAGGCGGCUUUUCAAGUGACGGGUGAAAGCCCUCGGCUUAACCGAGGAACUGCCUGUCAGACUGGAAGGCUUGAGACCGGGAGAGGCGAGUGGAAUUCCCAGUGUAGCGGUGAAAUGCGUAGAUAUUGGGAGGAACACCAGUGGCGAAGGCGGACUCACUGGACCGGAACUGACGCUGAGGCGCGAAAGCGUGGGGAGCAAACAGGG
rnacentral:rRNA from 1 species